UGGAAAAGAAUAUCCUUAAAAUCGGAAUGGGCAAGACAUCCUGAAAUUUAGCAUUGUCUUACAUCCUAUAGAAGAAAUACCUUAGUCUGUCACAGUCAGCAUAUUGACUUUAAGUAUUCAAUAUCCCUUCAGUCAGCAAUAAUCAUGUUAUAAACCUUAUAAAAGCAUAAAAUACAUAUAAACAAGUUAACUAUUUAAUAUUCUUACAUUCCCCUCUUUGAGCAAUAAAACAAUUGCUCAUCUUAUCGAUAAAAUCUUACCAGGACAGAGAAACUUCCACAUGGUAUUUUCAGGGGUGCUAGUCACUCCCUGCGGGACUUUCAUUAAUUUCUUCACCUCGAUUCCCAUGUGGUAAUUCCUAAGGCCCAGUUUAAAGAUGGGUUGAUACUCUACAGUGGCAGAGAGGAGAAUUUCUAAUUGUUUCUGUUCUGCAUUAUGGAUUCAUUUCUGUACUCUCUUCCUCAAUGUACAAACAAGAUGACAGUUAUAUAAAAUCAUACACAAUAAAAUCAGGACUAUAAUAACAAAAUGAUAGAAGAAUGAUUUCAUUAUCUGAGAUCCAGUAGGGGACCAACCAGUAAAGCAUUGUACCAAUGAUGGGCUAAAUCAUUCUGAAUUUGUGAACUCACCUUAAGGAGUUCUCCUUUUAGGAUAUGUGUGGCUACCUGUGUGUGUUAUCUUUGGGAAAAAUAUAGUCCCCUGUGUAUGUGGGUGCCCACCAGGUUAAAUUCUUGGCAAAAAGAUCAUAAACUGGUACUGGUAAUGUGUUAAAUUGACAAGCUAAUUUAACAUCCUUUGAUGAUGUAUGAUAUAAUGUAAAAUAACAUGAGCAUGAAAAAUGUGAAACAUUACCAGUUAACCAUCCAUUGCAUUUACUGGAUUGGGGUUUUAGAAGUAACCAUUCAUUAUCUGUGAGGUUACACAUUCCUCUAAUCUUCUCUAGUUUAGGAAUCAUUAGUGUGUUUUCUAAUGCCAAUCCUUGUUGUUGUAUCCAUAAAUACCUGAUGGCACAAGUACUCCAGUUACUUAGACCUGUAGUGAAUUUCAUAGUUGCAACAGUUAAAUUAUCUAAAUAAUUAUACAUUGAUUUAUCUAAAUCCAAUCCUGUAACCUGUGAUUUAACAACAAUUGGAGCCCAAUUUGCAGUAGCAUGAAAACCAGUCCCUAUAUGCAUGCUGGCUGUGUUUAACUUAUUCUUGAGGGUCUCCAUAUCUAUAACUAUUUAGUAUACCCAUAGUGGUUCCAGCACCUCCUAACAGUGUGUCAUACCAUUCCCUUUUCUGCCUUUUGUUUGCUGUGUUACAUAAUGUUACAACAGGAGUAGUGAUUUUUAAUGACACAUGUACAGCUUGUAAGAAGGCAGUUGUAUUAACACAUGUGGACGGAAUAGGUGUGUGUGUGUCGUGGUUGACUUUUGGUUCUAUGGUAGAGGAUAAAGGACAGUAAUAAGGUGUAAAAAUAUAAGGUAGUGUAUAGUUCUCAAUUGUAGUGUUGUUCAUAAUGACUAACAUUUGUCCCCUUCUCCAAUUAAUGAUACCAGUUAUAUAAUCAUUAUUAAAAGUAAUAAGGCCUGUCUGUUUACAUUGAUAUGCAACCUUAACUGUGCACAUUUCUGCGUUAUAAGAUCUAACAAUUUUCUGUGAACCUUUAAACAAACAUAAUGCAUCGGUUUCAUUAGCUGUAGACACAUUCCAUAUGGGUAACUGGUACUUAUAAGGGUUACUAUUUGUCCAAUUCAUCCAAAUGCGUUCAGUGAAUGAAUGAUUGCAUAUUGCAUGCUGAUAGAAAGGUGGUGGAGAAAGGUUCUUGAGGGGGCGUGUGUGACGAAUGCUAGAUGAGGGGCUAAGGCCUAAUUGGGCUGGGGGUAUUGAAGAAUUGUUCAUCAUGUCAGAGUCUUUUUCCAGAACUUGCCAUUGACUUGUACUCAUAAUGGCAUUCAAGGAACAAUAUCAGAGGGAGUAUAACAACUCCAGAAAGCAUAGCACACAACAUAAUCUUGGUCUCAGGUACGUAUGAUCCUCUACGAUACGGUGUGAAAACCAUGAUGCUUCGCUGAGGAGAAAUUCUUCUGUUUCCGAGCGAGGAGUGGUGUUGUCUUCCUUGGUUCCCCUCUUUGGACACAGCUUCACUCGGGAUGCGUGAAUCCAGAUGUCAUGGGAAUCUGUGAGGACAGCGGUUCUGGUUACAGCAAUCACAGUAGCAGGUGGUCCAAAAGGGUAUCCUCCUUUCUUGGUCCUGUUCAGCUGACGGAUAUACACCUUGUCACCGGGCUGGUAUGAAUGAGUAGGUUCCUGUGAAGGUAAGGGAAAACUGCGAAGAAACAUUGUCAUACAUACCAUUCGGUUUUAUCAACAAUUCACCUUGUGGGGAUAUAUUCUUAUCUCAGCUAAAAUAGCUGGUAGAUAUCUAGUCCAAUUUACCCAUGUUCCUGGGUAAAUUCUGGGCUUUUCCUUAAUAGUCCUAUUCAUCCUUUCAACUACCACUGUAUUCUGUGGAUGAUAGGGUAUAUGAAACUGCCAGGUAACUUGCAAGAAUUUAGCAAGUUCCUGGGCAACCCCACUUGCAAAAACCGGGCCAUUAUCAGAGCCAAUCUGCAGAGGGCAGCCAUACCUGGGAAUAAUUUCAGUAACAAUAAUCUUCACUAGCAUCCUCCCUAGAUGUCACAAAGGCAUCAUGCCAUCCACUAAACUGAUUAACUAUGACCAGUAAGUAUUGCUGUUUCUUACCAAUUUUGGAUACAUGAAUAAAAUCAAUCUGUAAGUGUGUAAAAAGAGCAGUGUUCACACGAUCUUACAAAAGACUGUACAUGCUGCCUGAGAUUCCUAAUAUAAAAUGAAUUCAUGAAGAAUUGAAUGGUGCUUGCUAUGUGCCUGACUGAUGAAAAUAAAUCAGCUUGCUUCAAGUAUGCCUAUUCUUCAAGUAUGCCUAUUCUCCCCUCUUUAGAGAACAGAUCAUUCUGAUCUUUCUCUAAACCUUAUUUAAUCCAAAAGACAGAUUGUGGGUAUUUAAAAAAAGAAUCUCAUAACCACUGAAGCGCUGGGCUGUCAUGUGUUGUGUGGUGAGAUUUGUCAGCUGAGUGACCUGGUGACUGGCAUAAAGUAUUGUAGGAUGCCCUAGUGUGAUAGUAGUAGCAGUUUCAACAGCCAUUGCACAUGCUAUCAAUGCUCUGAGACACGCCGGCAUACCCUGUACCGGAGCUCGAACUACUUUGGAAAAGAAUGCUAUGGGACGCAUACCGCCUCCUUGCUCUUGUGCACAGACCGCGGCCAUGGUUUUACAAUUGUCCCAAACAUACAAAUGAAAUGGUUUACAAUACACAGGUAGUCCUAAAGCCUGGGCUUGCACAAUAACAACUGUAAGGGCAAUAUAUGCAGCUAGCAUGUCUGGUGACCAGCAGACAUUUUCAGGGCUGUCAGAACGUACAGCCUCCCUUAGGAUUGAGUCAUAAUGGGAGCAUUCAGGGAUCCAUUGGUGGCAGUAAUUAAUCAUGCCGAGGAAGGUGAGCAACUCCUUCCGAGUAGUGGGUGUAGGAAUCCUCUGAAUGACCUCAAUACGUUUUGGACUCAAUUGUCUGGUGCCUAAAGCCAGAACAAAACCUAAGUAUUCAACCUUUGAUUUACACAAUUGCAUUUUGUGUUUAACAACCUUGUGACCUACAGUUGCUGACAGUAUCCACAGUGCUUGCCUCAUAGCUAGGGCUACAUAACAACAAAUCAUCAACAUUUUGCAAAAAGGACGGAACCAUGACCGGUGGUCCAUGUUUUUUAGAGUAUGUUAGAGUACCAACGAAUAAACAGCUGGGGAAUCCACAUAGCCUUGGGUAAGCGUGUCCAGGUAAACUGACAGCCUUCAAAAAGUAAAAACCAUAAGUAGCUGUGUCUCUUGAUCAAUAGGUAUAGAAAAAAAUGCAUUACUUAAAUCAAUGACAGUGAAGCAAGUGGCAUCAUGUGGAAUGGCUAUAAUGAGGGAUGUCACAUCAGGGACAAUGGGUGAAAUGGGCACAAUUAAACUAUUCAGGGCUCUAAAGUCCUGAACUAAGCGAUAUGCUGGCCAGUGGUGUUGGGAGUGGGUCUGGUGUUGUUCUUGCCUACCGGGCAUAUUUUGAGAAUGGUGGGGUUGUUGGGGUGUGUGGGGUUUCCUGGGGUUUCCUGGGGUGUGGACACUCAUUCCUCCAGUGGCCAUAUUGGCCACAGUUGAAACAAGUGUUCCUGUCUAUUCC